rnacentral:tRNA from 1 species
GCUAUUAUAGUUUAAAUAGAACGCUUGACUUGUAAACAAGAGGUUUACGGUAGCA